CUCCGGACACAAGCGGGGCCUCCCCUGGAGGCGCUGCCUCCUCUAGGCCCAAGUGCCCGGAGGCUCGGCUAACCCGUCCACGUGCAGACUCCCGCGUGCGCGCGCGCGCUCCUUGCAUUAGCCGUGCUUGAUUCUAGACAACGGCGCGGGGGCUGUUUCCCGCCCCAUUCCCUCGUCGCCUGCGUGUCCGCGCCCAGCCGGGAUCGUGGCCGAAGGAAGCUGGAAGGAGGCUCUUGGGCUACCAAGAUCUCAGUUGGAACAUCACUUCUCGGGCUGGAGGGAUGGCUGAGAGGUUAAGGCGCUUACCUGCACCCAAAGGGCCCAGGUUCGAUUCCGCAGUACCCAUGCUACCGGCAGGGCCCCAGCACUGGAGGCAGAGGUAGGAGGAUCGCUGCGUUGGAGGCCCCCUGGACUACAUAGCGAUCCAGGUCAGCGUGGGCUACAGCAAGACUCUGCCUCGAAAAACAACCCCCAAGCCCCCACUUUCCUAAUAGUAUAUUGUCUAAUGUAUCGUGUGUAUCUUUAUUGUAAUAAAGGUUUUAAAUAUU